rnacentral:rRNA from 1 species
GAUGAACGCUGGCGGCGUGCCUAACACAUGCAAGUCGAGCGAUUCUCUUCGGAGAAGAGCGGCGGACGGGUGAGUAACGCGUGGGUAACCUGCCCUGUACACACGGAUAACAUACCGAAAGGUAUGCUAAUACGGGAUAAUAUAAGAGAGUCGCAUGGCUUUUUUAUCAAAGCUCCGGCGGUACAGGAUGGACCCGCGUCUGAUUAGCUAGUUGGUGAGGUAAUGGCUCGCCAAGGCGACGAUCAGUAGCCGACCUGAGAGGGUGAUCGGCCACAUUGGAACUGAGACACGGUCCAAACUCCUACGGGAGGCAGCAGUGGGGAAUAUUGCACAAUGGGCGAAAGCCUGAUGCAGCAACGCCGCGUGAGCGAUGAAGGCCUUCGGGUCGUAAAGCUCUGUCCUCAAGGAAGAUAAUGACGGUACUUGAGGAGGAAGCCCCGGCUAACUACGUGCCAGCAGCCGCAGUAACAC